ACGGAAGGCAGCAGUGGGGAAUAUUGCACAAUGGGGGAAACCCUGAUGCAGCGACGCCGCGUGAGUGAAGAAGUAUUUCGGUAUGUAAAGCUCUAUCAGCAGGGAAGAAAAUGACGGUACCUGACUAAGAAGCCCCGGCUAACUACGUGCCAGCAGCCGCGGUAAUACGUAGGGGGCAAGCGUUAUCCGGAUUUACUGGGUGUAAAGGGAGCGUAGACGGCCAGACAAGUCUGAUGUGAAAGCCCGGGGCCCAACCCCGGAACUGCAUUGGAAACUGCCAGGCUGGAGUGCAGGAGAGGCAAGUGGAAUUCCUAGUGUAGCGGUGAAAUGCGUAGAUAUUAGGAGGAACACCAGUGGCGAAGGCGGCUUGCUGGACUGUAACUGACGUUGAGGCUCGAAAGCGUGGGGAGCAAACAGGAUUAGAUACCCUGGUA
rnacentral:rRNA from 1 species